UCGGUGGCUGCCGGCCGUGCAGGACUGGGAACCAUUCCAACAACCCGGUACAACAAGCUCAAGGGCAAGGAGAGGCGGGACCAGGUCCAGCUCGAGGUGAGGGCCGGAAUUGAAGAGCAGCGUGCAAGCCAGUGGGUGGGAUUGAGGCAACAGGGCGCGUGGACCAGAUGGGAGGAAGCCACAGACAGAAAAAUCUCGUGGAACGAGCUGUGGAGGGCUGAACCCCUCCGCAUUAAAUUCCUCAUUCAGUCUGUCUAUGAUGUCCUGCCCAGCCCAUCGAACCUCUUCUGUUGGGGCAAGGUUGAAACUCCAGCAUGUCCCUUGUGCCAAGGAAGAGGAACCCUGGAGCACAUCCUCAGCAGCUGUCCUAAAGCACUUGGUGAAGGCCGCUAUCGCUGGCGCCAUGAUCGUGUGCUGAAGGCGGUUGCUGAGUCCAUCAACACUGCCAUCUUCCAGAGCAAACGCUUACAACCAUCAAGGCGUGAAAUCUCCUUUGUAAGAGCCGGAGAUCAACCACCUCCCCGACCUAAAGCCCAGUCAGGCCUCCUGGGAACAGCGAAGGACUGGCAGCUAAGGGUGGACCUGGGAAAACAACUGAAAUUCCCUGAAAACAUUGUGGAAACCAGACUUAGGCCAGACAUCGUCCUAGUCUCAGAGACAUCCAAGCAAGUCAUCAUGUUGGAGCUAACAGUGCCGUGGGAGGAGAGAAUGGAAGAAGCAAGUGAGAGAAAGAGAGAGAAAUAUGCAGAGCUGGUGGAGGAGUGCCGCAAACGGGGGUGGCGUGCACGAUGCCUACCGAUUGAGGUGGGGGGAAGAGGCUUUGCAGGGAAAUCACUCUGCAAGGCCUACAGUCUCCUGGGCAUCACAGGGGCACGGAAGAGGAGAGCCAUCUCUACAGCCUCUGAGGCUGCAGAGAGAGCCUCGCAAUGGCUGUGGAUCCAGAGGGAUAAGCAGUGGUUGAGUGCUUCUUGGACACGGGCCGGGAACUGAUCACCCCGGUCGGGUCACCUGAGUGAGGGGGUCUGAAGUUGAAAGACCCGAAACCCCCGAUGAGCUCAGGCACUAUCACUGAGGAUGUGUCCAAGAAAAGCAUCACUAGAUGUAUGUAAGAACCAAU